GGAGAAGUACCCAAGCAGGCCGAAGGGGACGGUUUGCUAAACCGUUAGGGGUCGCAAGGCUCGCCCGGGUUCGAAUCCCGGCUUCUCCGCCA
rnacentral:tRNA from 1 species